ensembl:lncRNA
ACAGUAAUGUCCUUUGCAAAGAGAAAGUAAGCAGAUUGACAGCCAGAGAAGAAGACAAACAGAAAGAAAGAGAGAAAACAGGAAGACAGACAGACAGAAAGAAGGAAAGAAGGGCUUCAUGACAAAGCAGAUGGCGAUAGUCACAAAGACAGCGAUGAAACCAUAUGUGACUAAAACGUGUUUAUUCAGUGCAUGGUGCUCUUUCAGUUUCUGUUUGCUUUAUACAUUUCUUUUCUUUCGCAGUGAUGGUGAGAAAAGCAGGUGGGGUCUCGUCCUGAGAGACAGGAAGAAACCUCCACAAUGCCCUCCUCCACCCAGACCAAUGCAGAAACACAAGGGGGUCAGGAUGCAAACAAACACAAUGGGAGGGCUACAACACUUUGGUUUUCUGUACAGAAUACUAUUUUCACUAUAAAAGCGGGUUCCUGUUUGUUUUGUAUGGUUUUGUUGUUUGUUCUUUUAAAAUAGAAAUGUACAAACUGUUAAUGCGCUAGGGGGGUUGUUGGCUGAAUAUGUGGCGUGUUGGAAGGGACAGUGUGCACCAUAAAAACACACAAACAUAAACACACAUACAGAGAGAGGACGCUGGGCUGGCCAACAUCAUGAUGGUGUACUGGCUGUCUCCCCCUGAGGUUUCACUGACAACGCUUCUUGCUGACAGAGGUCGAAAUGGGAUGGUCAAGAACUGUGACACAAAUGCGUGGCAGCAAACUGAUCCUGGAGCAGGUCCUGCCCUUGUUUUGGUGCUGAAAUAACACUUCUGAGUCAACUACUAUCAGGAUAGAACUCAAGGAUAAUUACAAUCAAUUAACCCGUUGAGGAGUACGAUCACAAAUAUGUGUGUUGCCAGCUAAAAGUUACACUUGAUAACAUAAUAAUGAACUCAACCAACUAUUAGGAAUGGCAGUUCAUUCUUGUAAUAAUUGAAUUGUAAAUUCAGUAUAAGUCUAGAAUGACUUGCAAAAAAACCUCACUCCUCAAAGGGUUAACUCUUGCAUGUUUGAUGACAUGGAAUGAUUGGUGGCUACUAAUUAAUGAUUAAAAUAGCUAAUUCUUUCAUGUUAAUGGCCUCUGUCUUUCUGGACAAACCUUAACAAAUCUGCAUGGGUUAUUAGACAGAAUGUGGUGUUUCUGUGGGCACCACAGGUCCCCUUGCUUGUGUGUAUGAGUGCACACUGCCCCCUCUGGUAGAAAAGUACAAAUACACUGAAAAUGACUGCACAGCUGAAAAGUUGCCAGUGCAAUUUUUAUGAUUAAAAAAACAAAAAAAACAAAGAAUGCCUGUAGCUGGUGUUUGGAAUGUGUUGCAUCUAAUAAAAAAACAAUUCUGACUACGUUUACAUAUCUGCACUUUUUAAAAGCAGGUUAACUAUGAUACUGAGUACACACACAUGAAUGACAGAAUUGUAAAUAAAUAGAAAUAAAAUAGAACAUAGUUUCACUACACUGCCCGCCCCCCCCCCCCUAAACCCGAGAGAGAAAAGUCCCUGAACGGCCCCCACCCUAGAUUCAUCAUGAUAAGGACAAGGACAACAACAGCAACAACUAAAAUCGGAAAAACUAUGUAUCAUCGAGAAAAUAAGUCAUACAAUUAAAACAUGAGAAAAAAAAACUCCAUAUUGUCCCCCAAUCUUUGACUGAAAUACAUACUUUUUUAUGCAACAACAAAAACCAUUGAACAGACAUGAUAAUUCACAUAAAGAAGGACAAUAAAGUUAAAUUAAAUUAAAUUCAAAAAUUAAAUUUUUGUCAUCAAUAAAAUGGAACAAAUAAAUUUAGGUUACGAAACCUUGCACCUUCAAAAGAACAAAAAGAAUACAGUGAAUACCCAGAACCCUUUGCUCUCGUUCACCAGACCUCUGAGCAUAGCUAGAUGCUGUUGGCUAUCGGUCGUCAAAGCCAUGCAAAAAAGUCUUUUUUUUUAGAUAGAGAAAAAGAAAAGUUUCCUCAAAAGUCCAUCAUUCAAUCAUGGCAUCAAGUUGCACAAAACCCAUUUGAAACCUCAUUGUAAAAUUCCCUCGUAUAAAUUUAUCAUUUUUCUUUUAAAUGAAACAAAUAUCCAAAAAUAUUUUCCUUUUUUUGUCAUUGAGAAAAACAAAUCUUGAGCUCAGGUUGGCAAGGAGACAUCUGGGAUUCGCCUGCAGUCAUCUGAGGUUGAGGAGGAGCACUGUGGGAGAUUGGGGAUCUGGCCAGUCUGUUAGACUGAGGUGAUGCUGGUGGGGUCACAAGAAGGGGGGUAGGGGGGUGUGGUGUGGUGGGGGGGGUGCGUGAUUUGGCUGCAGUCCUAGAGAAGCUCAGGUCAGGUCCUUGGCCUCCAGGAUGUAAUGGAACCUCCGUCUUCUGGAGGCUGGGAUGCUCAGCUCGCAGGUCGGUGAAAGGAAGGAAGGUGGGUGGUCGGUGGGCUGGUGGUUGGCUAUCCAUGGCAGUGCAGUUGGGUGGAGGUUAACAUGGAGGUGACAGUGUGUGUGUGAAUAUAUGUGUGUGUGUGUGUGUGUGUGUGUGUGUGUGUGUGUGUGUUUGUAGGGAGGGUUUGGGGGUGGUUGGGGGGGCAAGAUGCAGAGUCUCUCUGAGGUAACCAAGUGUGAGGGAGUGAGCAUCAGUGAGGGAGAGGGGAAACGUGAAGGGAGGGCAGUGUGUGUGUGUGUGUGUGUGUGUGUGUGUGUGUGCGUGCUUGUGUGUGUGUGUGUGUGUGUGUGUGUGUGUAUGUCUUGGCUUUGCGUUCACAAUCCCACUGGGUUGUCGUCCGCCAGGCCCCUG